UACGGGAGGCAGCAGUGGGGAAUCUUGCCCAAUGGGGGAAACCCUGAUGCAGCGAUGCCGCGUGAGUGAAGAAGGCCUUUGGGUUGUAAAACUCUUUCGUCGGGGAAGAAAAUGACUGUACCCGAAUAAGAAGGUCCGGCUAACUUCGUGCCAGCAGCCGCGGUAAUAC
rnacentral:rRNA from 1 species